rnacentral:rRNA from 1 species
CUACGGGGGGCACCAGUGGGGAAUAUUGCACAAUGGGCGCAAGCCUGAUGCAGCAACGCCGUGUGAGUGAAGAAGGCCUUCGGGUUGUAAAACUCUGUCCUAAGGGAAGAAACAAAUGACGGUACCUUAGGAGGAAGCCCCGGCUAACUACGUGCCAGCAGCCGCGGUAAUACGUAGGGGGCAAGCGUUAUCCGGAAUCACUGGGCGUAAAGGGUGCGUAGGCGGCCUAUCAAGUCAGAAGUGAAAGGCAUUGGCUCAACCAAUGUAAGCUUUUGAAACUGUUGGGCUUGAGUGCAGGAGAGGUAAGUGGAAUUCCUAGUGUAGAGGUGAAAUUCGUAGAUAUUAGGAGGAACACCAGUGGCGAGGGCGACUUACUGGACUGUAACUGACGCUGAGGCACGAAAGCGUGGGGAGCGAACAGGAUUAGAUACCCCCGUAGUC